rnacentral:lncRNA from 1 species
AUCUUACUUCUGCUAAACCUGAUACUGUUAAUUUACCUACUGAAAACAUUAUUUACAACUUCAGAUGAACUUAAGGAAGGAAAGAGAAGUGACAACAACAAUAGUCCUCACAUCCUGUGCGACAACCAAUCAAAAAUCACAUUCAGCUGUUCUGAAGGCGACCAUGUGCAGAGAGGAAACCUAAGCAGGGGUAUGAAUCACCCAGACGGACACCACAGUUGCUUCAUGUGGUGAAGACACUGAGAACUUUACCAUAGCUUAACUGCUACUAGGCGUUUGUGUUAUUCUGUUUACAAUGGGAUUUUGUGUAUGCUUGUUUUGUCAAUAAACACUUAUACUUAUGUUUAUUAAAGGUAGAUCACAAAAUAAAAAAAAUUAAUUAAAAAAAAUGGUGGAAGAAUAAUAUUAAUAAAGAUAUGAAUAAAAUAUAGUGGGCAUGCUUCGCAAUCCCACUCAAUAAAAAAAAAAAAAAAAACUUAUUUAAAGUGAACAUGUGGUACAGAUAUGCAAAAAUAUCUAGCAAAAAUGUAGAAUCAGUCUAGCUUCUAUGUCUGUACUAGGAAUUCCCUAACCAUAACAAAAGUGUAUGUGUUUUCUGUAGCUGUACCUAAAUGACAGCAGACUGAUAAUAGGGCCUUAGUGACUUUAAUCCUAACUGUUGUAACUUUCCAGACCAGUGUGGCAAAUUUAACCUCUGCAGUUAGUUUUAUUCCUUUGUUGAGCCACUCCAGAGUAAAAGAAACUAGCAAACAGAGUCAGACCCGACUUAUAUAGAUAGUUCCUCGUGAGGUACCAGAUGAGUAUAAACUAGUAAAUCAAGUUGCUGCAGGCUUUGAGUCUCUCGUCUGUCCUUGGUGUACAAUGAACAAAAAUAUAGAUCAAAUCAGAAUCAACUACAUCCAUUUCAACGUUCAAAAGUAGGGAUGCACGAUAUUUAUCGGACCGAUAAAAUAUCGGCCGAUAUGGGGGGAAAUUACGUCAUUUUUUAUCGGUCCGAUAGGUGCAUUUUUCCGAUAGAAAGAUCCGAUAUAUUAAUGAAAUUACGAGUAACGUUUGCAGGCGGAGUAGCCGCCCGUCCGAGACGCGCUGGUCACGUCGUCUAUCAAGCCUUACUCGCAGGUCCCAAGCCUGACCCCGUCACUGUCUGACAGAUAAUAAAAUGUCUUCACCAGCAUGGUCGUUUCUCUCAGUGGCAGAAGAUGACAACAGCAUUGCUAUAUGCAAAACCUGUUCAGCGAGGAUUCCAAGAGGAGGAAUGAAGACGUCAAGUUUUAACACAACGAAUCUGAUAGCUCAUCUGAAAAGUCGCCAUCGCGGCGGAGCAGUAUUAAAGGACUAUGAGACAGCCGCCGAAGCUGCUAGCGGUACUAAAGCUAAGACAACAACACUACGGAGGAUCGAUGUCCCCAUUCAGCAGGCGUUUAAGAACUGCAAAAGCUUCUCAAGAGACAGCGAAAAGGCUAAAGCCAUUAACGACAAAGUGAUGGAGUUCAUAGCGGUCGACGACCAGCCUUUUUCCGUCGUUGAGAACCCGGGUUUUCGUAAGUUCAUAGCACACUUGGAACCACGUUACACUCUCCCAAGCCGCCGCUUCUUCUCGGAUGUGUCUCUUCCUGCACUCUAUGAUAUUGUCGCCACAUACAUUCACAACCUGAUCAACAAGAACGGACUACACGUGAGUUUUACCACAGACAUAUGGACGUCAGAUGUUAGUCCGGUCAGCAUGCUAAGCCUAACGUCUCAUAAUAGCUCCUUUACAGUUUACAGUUCUGUUGAACAGUUCAGGGGAUCAAAUGAAGUUCUGCUUUUUGCUCUGUUAUUGUUAUUUAUAGCAAAUGACCACAUUUGAAGAGCCAAAAACUUUUGUUUGUUGUUCUAGAUAGGCCAGAGCAACAAAAAUAUCAGUUUUCAAUCGCUGCAUCCUGCACAAACUGCAGAUUAUAUGAAGAUUAUAAUAAAUGUAAAAAUAUGAAUUUAUCGGUUAUCGGUAUCGGUAUCGGCCAUGAGAAGAAGAAAAUUAUCGGUUAUCGGUAUCGGUUGAAAUUUUUCAUAUCGUGCAUCACUAUUCAAAAGCUAGGUAAUUGGACUGAGGCUGGUAUUUAGGACCGGUCACUCGCAGUUAUCUGCAACAUCCCUGAUGGCGUUCCAAAACCGUAUAGCCCUUGACAUGCUGCUGGCAGAAACAGGAGGUGUAUGUGCCAUGUUUGGAGAAACGUGUUGCACGUUCAUUCCUGAUAAUACUGCUGCUGAUGGCAGCCUCACUCGAGCCAUAGAGGGCCUAAAAAUGCUUAACAGCAAAAUGAAAGACCACUCAGGAAUAGAUAACUCCUUUUGGGACGAUUGGAUGAAUGUAUUUGGAAAAUACAAAAAUCAUGUAGAUUCAGUCCUAAUCUCUGUUGCUGUUUUUGCAGCUAUUCUGACCUUGUGUGGAUGUUGUUGUAUUUCUGUAUUUGUUCUCUUCUUAACCGUCUUAUCACCACAGCGUUGUCCCCUGUGGAGCAGCAGAUGCAGGAGUUGUACCCGCUGCUCCAUCAGCAGGACGAGGAGGAAAGACUUGAUGACACUCAAUGGCCUGACCUGUGCCCCAAUCCGGAUGAUGAGUAUAAUUCUGACUAAAGCAACAUC